AGAUAAAUGAGAAUGAGUCACACUGGUGAUUCUGUCACCAGAAGGGUGGCCUCAGAGGAGGAGUUACCUGCAUCCAGGGCCCAGAGAACAGCAUCCAUCAGAGUGACUCCAGGCAGAGAACUUGACAUAGGGAGGCUGGAAAAUGAGCCCAAGCUCUAAUCUCCACUAUCAGGCAAGGCUGGAACUGGACAGCAGUAUUACCAGAGCCUCAGCGGGAUUGCAUCUCUGCUUCACCUCCUCUUCUGUGGCCGGAGGAUGGGCCGCCCAGCAUCCGGAGCUGCCUGUAAAGUUCCUCUCAGCGCCUGCAGAAGCUUUGUAGAGGUGCAGCUGACUGUGAUCAGGGGCUUUAUUUGUCUGUGGAAUCUGGGAGCCAGUGGGAGCCAGUGUGAGAAAGGCGAGGUGUACAAGCCUGCCGUCGGAAGUGUUCCAAUCCAAGUUUCUGGAAUUUCAAGCUGCAUGGCAUUAGCUUCUUUUCCCUUGAACUGAUUCGUGGGAGACGACUUGAGCGAAACCCAAAAAACCCAUGUUCAGACCUGAUGCUAAGGGGCUGAAUGACGCUGGACAGAACAUAAUACCUUGGGUCCUCAAUUUUGUGAUGAUGGUUAAAUGAGUGAUUCUCAAACCAGUUCUGACAUCUUGAAAAGGUGCUUCUGACUUCACAGUUACCAUGUAAUUAGAGCUUUGAAAUGACAGUGCAGUGAACUCUCCUUGAUAUUCCCCUAAGCCUCUACAUUGAAUGGUGAUGAGGAUCCUAUUUGGAAGCUUUCAAUGGUGUCUUCUCCAGGGGAAAAGGUGAAGAAUAUUUUGUAAGCGACACUGUCUUUUCAAUUUUUACCUCCUGAUUUUGAGCACGGCGAUUCUACUAAGCUGUGUUUUCUUUUCCCUGUGAAAAUGGUUUUGUGAGAAAAUGUAACCAGUGCAAUUAUACUGAACUUUCAUAAGAUGAAACGUUAAUAAAAUGAAUGUUUGACCAAUAAAAUACUUGAUGCU
rnacentral:lncRNA from 1 species